GACGUAGGGCGCGAGCGUUGUCCGGAUUUAUUGGGCGUAAAGAGCUCGUAGGCGGCUUGUUGCGUCAGCUGUGAAAACCCGCAGCUCAACUGUGGGCUUGCAGCUGAUACGGGCAGGCUUGAGUUCGGUAGGGGAGACUGGAAUUCCUGGUGUAGCGGUGAAAUGCGCAGAUAUCAGGAGGAACACCCGGUGGCGAAGGCGGGUCUCUCG
rnacentral:rRNA from 1 species